UUUCUGUCUGCCAGAACACAAAGCAGAAUUAAUUUAAGCUACUGUACAGGUUAAUACAUCCUUUAAGGUGAGAGAUACUGUAUAAAUAUAGUGGCACCAACAUCCUAGGCAAUAUUUUAGUAUGAAAUUUCGUCUGACCUUAUUAAUUUUACUUGGAGAAAAACAUAGAGGAAAUAAAAGAAAGAACACAUCAUGUCAGGUUGUCCAUUUAUGAUCACAGAAGCCCUGCUCUUGUCAUCCAUUGCUGGUUGAUGCUGGUGCUGGUGAGAAGAACUGAGACAGUGAGAGAGGCACAAGAUCACUUUACAGGGGAAAGGGAAAUCCACUUGCACCAGGUGGGAGCCUGCCCCUUUGCUUUGAACUUCAUCUGCUGGUGUCUGGUGAGGCUCCUGUUUGUGGGAACACUGUCCCUUGGAGCAGGCUUCUUCUGCUGCAGCAGCUGCUGCCCACCACAUCUCUAUGGUCACCUCAGAUUAAUAUUUUUCCACUUAUCACAUAGGUGGAGCUGUUGUCUCUGGUACGUGGAAUUCUGCAUUUCUGGGGAAUGGCAAGAGGCAGAAGGUGUCACUCUGCCUCUGAGGGGGCAGUGGCAGUGUGCUCUUGCUCUCAGGCUUUAA
rnacentral:lncRNA from 1 species